rnacentral:rRNA from 1 species
UACGGAGGGGGCUAGCGUUGCUCGGAAUCACUGGGCGUAAAGCGCACGUAGGCGGCUUUUUAAGUCAGAGGUGAAAUCCUGGAGCUCAACUCCAGAACUGCCUUUGAUACUGGAGAGCUUGAGUCCGGGAGAGGUGAGUGGAACUGCGAGUGUAGAGGUGAAAUGCGUAGAGAUCAGGAGGAACACCCGUGGCGAAGGCGGCUCCCUGGUCCGUUACUGACGCUGAGACGCGAAAGCGCGGGGAGCGAACGGG